UACAGAGGUCUCAAGCGUUUGUUCGGAUUCAUUGGGCGUAAAGGGUGCGUAGGCGGCGCGGUAAGUCGGGUGUGAAAUCUCGGGGCUUAACUCCGAAACUGCAUUCGAUACUGCCGUGCUUGAGACUGGAGAGGAGACUGGAAUUUACGGUGUAGCGGUGAAAUGCGUAGAUAUCGUAAGGAAGACCAGUGGCGAAGGCGGGUCUCUGGACAGUUCCUGACGCUGAGGCACGAAGGUCAGGGGAGCAAACGGGA
rnacentral:rRNA from 1 species